rnacentral:rRNA from 1 species
UUAAGCGACUAAGCGUACACGGUGGAUGCCUGGCAGUCAGAGGCGAUGAAGGACGUGCUAAUCUGCGAUAAGCGUCGGUAAGGUGAUAUGAACCGUUAUAACCGGCGAUUUCCGAAUGGGGAAACCCAGUGUGAUUCGUCACACUAUCAUUAACUGAAUCCAUAGGUUAAUGAGGCGAACCGGGGGAACUGAAACAUCUAAGUACCCCGAGGAAAAGAAAUCAACCGAGAUUCCCCCAGUAGCGGCGAGCGAACGGGGAGCAGCCCAGAGCCUGAAUCAGUGUGUGUGUUAGUGGAAGCGUCUGGAAAGGCGCGCGAUACAGGGUGACAGCCCCGUACACAAAAAUGCACAUGCUGUGAGCUCGAUGAGUAGGGCGGGACACGUGGUAUCCUGUCUGAAUAUGGGGGGACCAUCCUCCAAGGCUAAAUACUCCUGACUGACCGAUAGUGAACCAGUACCGUGAGGGAAAGGCGAAAAGAACCCCGGCGAGGGGAGUGAAAAAGAACCUGAAACCGUGUACGUACAAGCAGUGGGAGCACAGAGCAAUCUGUGUGACUGCGUACCUUUUGUAUAAUGGGUCAGCGACUUAUAUUCUGUAGCAAGGUUAACCGAAUAGGGGAGCCGAAGGGAAACCGAGUCUUAACUGGGCGUUAAGUUGCAGGGUAUAGACCCGAAACCCGGUGAUCUAGCCAUGGGCAGGUUGAAGGUUGGGUAACACUAACUGGAGGACCGAACCGACUAAUGUUGAAAAAUUAGCGGAUGACUUGUGGCUGGGGGUGAAAGGCCAAUCAAACCGGGAGAUAGCUGGUUCUCCCCGAAAGCUAUUUAGGUAGCGCCUCGUGAAUUCAUCUCCGGGGGUAGAGCACUGUUUCGGCAAGGGGGUCAUCCCGACUUACCAACCCGAUGCAAACUGCGAAUACCGGAGAAUGUUAUCACGGGAGACACACGGCGGGUGCUAACGUCCGUCGUGAAGAGGGAAACAACCCAGACCGCCAGCUAAGGUCCCAAAGUCAUGGUUAAGUGGGAAACGAUGUGGGAAGGCCCAGACAGCCAGGAUGUUGGCUUAGAAGCAGCCAUCAUUUAAAGAAAGCGUAAUAGCUCACUGGUCGAGUCGGCCUGCGCGGAAGAUGUAACGGGGCUAAACCAUGCACCGAAGCUGCGGCAGCGACGCUUAUGCGUUGUUGGGUAGGGGAGCGUUCUGUAAGCCUGUGAAGGUGUACUGUGAGGUAUGCUGGAGGUAUCAGAAGUGCGAAUGCUGACAUAAGUAACGAUAAAGCGGGUGAAAAGCCCGCUCGCCGGAAGACCAAGGGUUCCUGUCCAACGUUAUUCGGGGCAGGGUGAGUCGACCCCUAAGGCGAGGCCGAAAGGCGUAGUCGAUGGGAAACAGGUUAAUAUUCCUGUACUUGGUGUUACUGCGAAGGGGGGACGGAGAAGGCUAUGUUGGCCGGGCGACGGUUGUCCCGGUUUAAGCGUGUAGGCUGGUUUUCCAGGCAAAUCCGGAAAAUCAAGGCUGAGGCGUGAUGACGAGGCACUACGGUGCUGAAGCAACAAAUGCCCUGCUUCCAGGAAAAGCCUCUAAGCAUCAGGUAACAUCAAAUCGUACCCCAAACCGACACAGGUGGUCAGGUAGAGAAUACCAAGGCGCUUGAGAGAACUCGGGUGAAGGAACUAGGCAAAAUGGUGCCGUAACUUCGGGAGAAGGCACGCUGAUAUGUAGGUGAAGUCCCUCGCGGAUGGAGCUGAAAUCAGUCGAAGAUACCAGCUGGCUGCAACUGUUUAUUAAAAACACAGCACUGUGCAAACACGAAAGUGGACGUAUACGGUGUGACGCCUGCCCGGUGCCGGAAGGUUAAUUGAUGGGGUUAGCGCAAGCGAAGCUCUUGAUCGAAGCCCCGGUAAACGGCGGCCGUAACUAUAACGGUCCUAAGGUAGCGAAAUUCCUUGUCGGGUAAGUUCCGACCUGCACGAAUGGCGUAAUGAUGGCCAGGCUGUCUCCACCCGAGACUCAGUGAAAUUGAACUCGCUGUGAAGAUGCAGUGUACCCGCGGCAAGACGGAAAGACCCCGUGAACCUUUACUAUAGCUUGACACUGAACAUUGAGCCUUGAUGUGUAGGAUAGGUGGGAGGCUUUGAAGUGUGGACGCCAGUCUGCAUGGAGCCGACCUUGAAAUACCACCCUUUAAUGUUUGAUGUUCUAACGUGGACCCGUAAUCCGGGUUGCGGACAGUGUCUGGUGGGUAGUUUGACUGGGGCGGUCUCCUCCUAAAGAGUAACGGAGGAGCACGAAGGUUGGCUAAUCCUGGUCGGACAUCAGGAGGUUAGUGCAAUGGCAUAAGCCAGCUUGACUGCGAGCGUGACGGCGCGAGCAGGUGCGAAAGCAGGUCAUAGUGAUCCGGUGGUUCUGAAUGGAAGGGCCAUCGCUCAACGGAUAAAAGGUACUCCGGGGAUAACAGGCUGAUACCGCCCAAGAGUUCAUAUCGACGGCGGUGUUUGGCACCUCGAUGUCGGCUCAUCACAUCCUGGGGCUGAAGUAGGUCCCAAGGGUAUGGCUGUUCGCCAUUUAAAGUGGUACGCGAGCUGGGUUUAGAACGUCGUGAGACAGUUCGGUCCCUAUCUGCCGUGGGCGCUGGAGAAUUGAGGGGGGCUGCUCCUAGUACGAGAGGACCGGAGUGGACGCAUCACUGGUGUUCGGGUUGUCAUGCCAAUGGCACUGCCCGGUAGCUAAAUGCGGAAGAGAUAAGUGCUGAAAGCAUCUAAGCACGAAACUUGCCCCGAGAUGAGUUCUCCCUGACUCCUUGAGAGUCCUGAAGGAACGUUGAAGACGACGACGUUGAUAGGCCGGGUGUGUAAGCGCAGCGAUGCGUUGAGCUAACCGGUACUAAUGAACCGUGAGGCUUAACCUU